rnacentral:lncRNA from 1 species
AACGAACAUCCGAUAACCAUUUCAAAACAAGAUCAAAACCUCGAUCCAACGUCGAGUAAUCAUUUUCAAAACUUAACAGAACCAGCACGUAUUCAUCCAUCCUUUUGUAAGUCGAUUGCCUCAUGCAUCGCCAUAUCUCUUGUAAGUCGAUUGCUUUUGGCAUCGCCAUCUACCACCUGUAAGUCGAUUGCUUCAUGCAUCGCCAUCUACCUUUAUCCCUGGUUCCU